rnacentral:tRNA from 1 species
GCCUGGUUGGCUCAGAGGGCUGAGCGUCUGACUCUGGCUCAGAUCAUGAUCUCACCCAGUUCUUGGGUUCGAGCCCCGCGUUGGGCU